rnacentral:rRNA from 1 species
GACGAAUGCUGGCGGCGUGCUUAACACAUGCAAGUCGAAUGGAAAGGCCCUGCUUUUGUGGGGUGCUCGAGUGGCGAACGGGUGAGUAACACGUGAGUAACCUGCCCUUGACUUUGGGAUAACUUCAGGAAACUGGGGCUAAUACCGGAUAGGAGCUCCUGCUGCAUGGUGGGGGUUGGAAAGUUUCGGCGGUUGGGGAUGGACUCGCGGCUUAUCAGCUUGUUGGUGGGGUAGUGGCUUACCAAGGCUUUGACGGGUAGCCGGCCUGAGAGGGUGACCGGCCACAUUGGGACUGAGAUACGGCCCAGACUCCUACGGGAGGCAGCAGUGGGGAAUAUUGCACAAUGGGCGGAAGCCUGAUGCAGCAACGCCGCGUGCGGGAUGACGGCCUUCGGGUUGUAAACCGCUUUCGCCUGUGACGAAGCAUGAGUGACGGUAAUGGGUAAAGAAGCACCGGCUAACUACGUG